CCUCCCUAACACACACAUCACACGCUUAUUCCACCAGCUCCUCUAAUUAAAGGUCUCGCACAGCUCAUACGACUCCCAAAGCCAAUUAAACAAUGCUCACCCUUGUACCUCACAGUAGGUUGGGGAGUAGCUUGGAAAACGCUGUGAUUGAUAUGAAAAGUAGUAACGUAUUUUUAAGCACUUUUAGCACUGUUGUUACUCUAUGAGGCACAAGCUUUCAACAUAGUGGCCUUUUAUUUUCUGCGCUUUUGGAGUGUGAGAACACCAUAGAGGCUACACGCACCACGGCGUUUCUGUGGGCUGGGAAUCAAGGCCUGGAGAAGGGGGUGGGCAGCCGGGAAGUGACAGUGCAGGGAGGGGGAGUUGGCAGCUGUCAAAUGAAUGCAUUUCCCUCUUCUAUUAUCCUGCUAUCCGAAUGCUCCAUCUAUUCAUAUUCAUGGUUUCCAUCACUGUGCAUAGCACCAAGGCCAGCUUCCUUUUCACAUUUCAUCUUCUUGUCUUUCUUGGAGUUUCAUUUUGAUUUACUAAAAAUCAGUGGACUGCUUCUAAACAAGGAUCAGCUAAUAGAAACUGGAGGUAGUUGGUAGAGAAUCUACUGGGAGGAAUUUAUUUACAUACAAGAAGUUAAAGCCAAAUGUAUGUGAUCAAGAAUGGAAAACCAACUCUUCUGGAGGAAAACAUAAAUGUCUGCUGGGGAACAUGUAUUUGCUUUGGGAACCCUUGGGACCAAGAAAAUAAAAUGCUUAAUAACAACAGCAUAAUGAGGCUGUAGGAGUGCUGAAAGCAUUAAUUAAUGAACAAUUUUAAAGUUCUUCAGAAGCCCAGGGAGAGUUUAGAGUGGAUGGAUUCCUUUACUGACAAAGACUAAUAUGUUGGACUGCUUAGGCUGACUUGAUUAAACCAGAGCUAAAUUUUAAAACACACCUAAUUACAGUUUCCCUAUUUUAAAUGGAAUGCCUCAUAUUUAUUGGAGUCCUAUUAUUCUAUUGAGAUGAACCACGGUUAACCACAUCCAUAUUUUUUAAUAUUUAGGCUGUAGAACUAAACUUUUACAUGUACCUGGAGAAGUUUAGAAGUUGACAUUAUACUGUCCUUACAUGUGACGUCCCACUUUGCAACAAAAGAGCCAUAGGAAGGCAGGCCCUGAACUGACCAAUCGAAUAACCUGAGAGUCUGAUCAGAAGAAUGCAUGCUAUGUAAAUAGAUCACGUUUGGGCAAGUGCUUCCUAUUGCUGUCCAUUGAAACUUAACACUUUCAGUGGUCCUUCUGAGUUUAACAGGUUUCUAUCUCCUGGCAAUAAAACCAGACUUUGCUAUA
rnacentral:lncRNA from 1 species